GCACUCUCACACAUAUUGUGUGGAAUUGGGAUGCGCCGAAAGCUUUCGGCCCUCUUAAAAUGGAGUUCUUGACUGUACAGCAGUUUGGCCCAAUAGUUUUGACAAUUCGUUUGUCAAAUCUUUGGCUACAUCUGUUUCAGGAUAUCAGUUUUGAUAUACAGAAAAAUUCAUUCCAAA
rnacentral:misc_RNA from 1 species